GACGAACGCUGGCGGCGCGCCUAACACAUGCAAGUCGAACGAGCGAGAGAGAGCUUGCUUUCUCAAGCGAGUGGCGAACGGGUGAGUAACGCGUGAGGAACCUGCCUCAAAGAGGGGACAACAGUUGGAAACGACUGCUAAUACCGCAUAAGCCCACGGUCGGCAUCGACCAGAGGGAAAGGAGCAAUCCGCUUUGAGAUGGCCUCGCGUCCGAUUAGCUAGUUGGUGAGGUAAUGGCCCACCAAGGCGACGAUCGGUAGCCGGACUGAGAGGUUGAACGGCCACAUUGGGACGUGAGACACGGCCCAGA
rnacentral:rRNA from 1 species